rnacentral:rRNA from 1 species
CCUACGGGAGGCAGCAGUAAGGAAUAUUGGUCAAUGGACGAAAGUCUGAACCAGCCAUGCCGCGUGAAGGAUUAAGGCCCUCUGGGUUGUAAACUUCUUUUAUCUGGGACGAAAAAAGGGUAUUCUUACUCACUUGACGGUACCAGAGGAAUAAGCACCGGCUAACUCCGUGCCAGCAGCCGCGGUAAUACGGAGGGUGCAAGCGUUAUCCGGAUUUACUGGGUUUAAAGGGUGCGUAGGUGGGCUUGUAAGUCAGUGGUGAAAUCUCCGGGCUUAACCCGGAAACUGCCAUUGAUACUAUAGGUCUUGAAUUAUCUGGAGGUAAGCGGAAUAUGUCAUGCAGCGGUGAAAUGCUUAGAUAUGACAUAGAACACCAAUUGCGAAGGCAGCUUACUACGGAUACAUUGACACUGAGGCACGAAAGCGUGGGGAUCAAACAGGAUUAGAUACCCUGGUAGUCCACGCCCUAAACGAUGGAUACUCGACAUCAGCGAUACACUGUUGGUGUCUGAGCGAAAGCAUUAAGUAUCCCACCUGGAAGUACGAUCGCAAGAUUGAAACUCAAAUGAAUUGACGGCUGAGACGNGCGAGACGACGACGAGGGAGGAGG